rnacentral:tRNA from 1 species
CGCGGAGUGGAGCAGCCCGGUAGCUCGCUUGGCUCAUAACCAAGAGGCCGUCCGUUCAAAUCGGACCUCCGCAACCA